AGAGUUUGAUCAUGGCUCAGGAUGAACGCUGGCGGCGUGCCUAACACAUGCAAGUCAAGGGGCUCGUUGUAGCAAUACGGCGAGCCACUGGCGCACGGGUGAGUAACGCGUAGGUUAUCUACCCCCAACUCAGGCAUAACACCUCCAACGAGGUGCUAAUACCUGAUGAGGAGGCAGCUCCAAAGACCUUCGGGUCGGUUGGGGAUGAGCCUGCGUCCGAUUAGGUAGUUGGUAGGGUAAUGGCCUACCAAGCCGACGAUCGGUAGCUGGCCUGAGAGGGUGGUCAGCCACACUGGGACUGAGACACGGCCCAGACUCCUACGGGAGGCAGCAGUGAGGAAUAUUGGGCAAUGGGCGCAAGCCUGACCCAGCGACGCCGCGUGUGGGAUGACAGGGCUAUGCCUUGUAAACCACUGUCGGGUGGGACGAAAAGCGAGCUACGGCUCGCCGGGACGGUACCACCAAAGGAAGGGUCGGCUAACUACGUGCCA
rnacentral:rRNA from 1 species